rnacentral:rRNA from 1 species
GACGAACGCUGGCGGCGUGCUUAACACAUGCAAGUCGAACGGUGACGAAUGGAGCUUGCUCUGUUCUGAUCAGUGGCGAACGGGUGAGUAACACGUGAGUAACCUGCCCCUGACUCUGGAAUAACUUCGGGAAACCGAAGCUAAUACCGGAUAUGACACAGAGCCGCAUGGUUUCUGUGCGGAAAAGUUUUUCGGUUGGGAUGGACUCGCGGCCUAUCAGCUUGUUGGUGAGGUAAUGGCUCACCAAGGCGACGACGGGUAGCCGGCCUGAGAGGGCGACCGGCCACACUGGGACUGAGACACGGCCCAGACUCCUACGGGAGGCAGCAGUGGGGAAUAUUGCACAAUGGGCGAAAGCCUGAUGCAGCGACGCCGCGUGAGGGAUGAAGGCCUUCGGGUU